rnacentral:rRNA from 1 species
AUUGAACGCUGGCGGCAUGCCUAACACAUGCAAGCCGAACGGGGUGUAGCAAUACAUCUAGUGGCGGACGGGUGAGGAAUACAUAGGAAUUUGCCCUUAAGUGGGGGAUAGUCCGGGGAAACUCGGUUUAAUACCGCAUGAUCUCGUGAGAGCAAAGCAGGGGACCGCAAGGCCUUGCGCUUUUGGAGAAGCCUAUGUCGGAUUAGCUAGUUGGUAGGGUAAUGGCCUACCAAGGCGACGAUCCGUAACUGGUCUGAGAGGAUGAUCAGUCACACCGGAACUGAGACACGGUCCGGACUCCUACGGGAGGCAGCAGU